AUUCCAGCUCCAAUAGCGUAUAUUAAAGUUGUUGCGGUUAGGAAGCUCGUAGUUCGAUUUCUGCCGAGGACGUCCGGUCCGCCCUGCGGGUGAGUAUCUGGGACGGCCUGGGCAUAUUAUUGGAUCACGUGUAUGCACUUAACUGUGUGGUGCGGUAUCCAGGAUUUUUACGCAUAUGAAAUUAAAGUGUUUCAAGCAGGUCAACGCCCUGAAUACAUUAGCAUGGGAUAAUAAGAUAGGACAUCGGUUAUAUUGUUGGUUUCUAGAGCUGAAGUACUGACCGAUAGGGAUCGUUGGGGCAUUCGUAUCCAAUCGUCAGAGGUGAAAUGCUUGGAAUUGUUAAAUCAGAUUACCGCGAACGCAUUUGCCAAUUAUGCUUUCAUUA
rnacentral:rRNA from 1 species